UACAACACUAUUUAAACCCCCUCACUUGCCCACAGACGUUUGAUUGCUAGUCCUCCAUAUGGGUGCUAAUGUAAAGCUAAUAGAAUAGAAGUUGGAAGCUCAACUUUUUAGCGGAAGAAGAGAGGAGCUGCAGGGAAUACACUGACUCACAUCCAGGCCUCUGCAGUGAAUUUCUUGCUUCAAAUGGUUGUGUAGGUGCGUCUGGCUCCCCUACAUUCAAGAAGUGCAACACCUCCGUAAAGGAAUCUGGAGGAGAGAUGAAGCUGCAGAGGAGAUGAAAAUAUUCUGCAGGGAUCAUUGUUGCUGAAGGAUUACGAGGGAAACUGGCUGUUUUCAUCCUCUGUUCCUCUGCAUGGACGUCUCAGAGUAGAGCACUUGACUGCUGAAGGACACUUAGCAUUUACCUGCAUGGGAUCUGCUGGAUUAUUACCUGAGUGACACCUGGGCAGACUGCUGACGUGGCUUUUUACAGAUCAGUUCCUGGUUUUCAGUGAUUGGGACUGUUACCUGAUGUCUCUUCCUGCGACCGGCAGCCAUUGCUUCUCUCCUCCUAUGGUGUAUCUCGUGCCAUCUGAAGUGGCAGAAUUAAAUUAGGGUUGUAGUCUUAUCUUCAUAGUAUAGCAUAUAGUUACUAUAGUAUAGUAAAGCAUGAAUGAAAUUCAUAUUAAUUUUGUUGUCUUUACGUACACGUCUGUGUUAAUACUUUUGAUGUCUCUCUCGCUUGGCAGUGUUUAAUUUUAAA